UUACCUCAAAAAAAUUGAAAAUCAAUCGCUGGGAGUGAGCGAGAAUAAUUUGCAUACUGGGGUGCAGAUUGCUCCAGUGUCAUCAAGUGAACUUACUACAUGUACAGUGGCCGAAUCAGUGCCCAGCAACUGUGUCUCGCUGCAAGGGUUGGAUUCUUUGGACAAUGAUUUAUUAUUGGACCUUGUGUUCUGCCUGAGCUGUCAGGAACUGAGGCUUAUUUUCUGAUCUAUUGGAAGAAGCCACGAGAGGGAUUCAUUGCUUUUAAUACUCAAGUUUCACAUAGAAA